rnacentral:rRNA from 1 species
UGGGGAAUAUUGGACAAUGGGCGCAAGCCUGAUCCAGCCAUGCCGCGUGAGUGAUGAAGGCCCUAGGGUUGUAAAGCUCUUUCACCGGUGAAGAUAAUGACGGUAACCGGGGAAGAAGCCCCGGCUAACUUCGUGCCAGCAGCCGCGGUAAUACGAAGGGGGCUAGCGUUGUUCGGAUUUACUGGGCGUAAAGCGCACGUAGGCGGACUAUUAAGUCAGGGGUGAAAUCCCGGGGCUCAACCCCGGAACUGCCUUUGAUACUGGUAGUCUUGAGUUCGAGAGAGGUGAGUGGAAUUCCGAGUGUAGAGGUGAAAUUCGUAGAUAUUCGGAGGAACACCAGUGGCGAAGGCGGCUCACUGGCUCGAUACUGACGCUGAGGUGCGAAAGCGUGGGGAGCAAACAGG